rnacentral:rRNA from 1 species
UGGGGCGCAGCAGGCGAGAAAACUUUGCAAUGUGCGAAAGCACGACAAGGUUAAUCCGAGUGGUUUCUGCUAAAGGAACCUUUUGUCAGUCCUAGAAACACUGAUGAAUAAGGGGUGGGCAAGUUCUGGUGUCAGCCGCCGCGGUAAAACCAGCACCUCAAGCGGUCAGGAUGAUUAUUGGGCCUAAAGCAUCCGUAGCCGGCUCUGUAAGUUUUCGGUUAAAUCUGUACGCUCAACGUACAGGCUGCCGGGAAUACUGCAGAGCUAGGGAGUGGGAGAGGUAGACGGUACUCGGUAGGAAGGGGUAAAAUCCUUUGAUCUAUUGAUGACCACCUGUGGCGAAGGCGGUCUACCAGAACACGUCCGACGGUGAGGGAUGAAAGCUGGGGGAGCAAACCGGAUUAGAUACCCGGGUAGUCCCAGCUGUAAACUAUGCAAACUCAGUGAUGCAUUGGCUUGUGGCCAAUGCAGUGCUGCAGGGAAGCCGUUAAGUUUGCCGCCUGGGAAGUACGUACGCAAGUAUGAAACUUAAAGGAAUUGGCGGGGGAGCACCACAAGGGGUGAAGCCUGCGGUUCAAUUGGAGUCAACGCCAGAAAUCUUACCCGGAGAGACAGCAGAAUGAAGGUCAAGCUGAAGACUUUACCAGACAAGCUGAGAGGUGGUGCAUGGCCGUCGCCAGCUCGUGCCGUGAGAUGUCCUGUUAAGUCAGGUAACGAGCGAGAUCCCUGCCUCUAGUUGCCACCAUUACUCUCAGGAGUAGUGGGGCGAAUUAGCGGGACCGCCGCAGUUAAUGCGGAGGAAGGAAGGGGCCACGGCAGGUCAGUAUGCCCCGAAACUCUGGGGCCACACGCGGGCUGCAAUGGUAAUGACAAUGGGUUCCAAAUCCGAAAGGAGGAGGUAAUCCUCAAACAUUACCACAGUUAUGACUGAGGGCUGCAACUCGCCCUCACGAAUAUGGAAUCCCUAGUAACUGCGUGUCAUUAUCGCGCGGUGAAUACGUCCCUGCUCCUUGCACACACCGCCCGUCGUUUCAUUGAAGUGAGCUUUUAGCGAGGUGACGUCUGAUUGGCGUUAUCGAACUUGAGGUUCGUGACAAGGGAAAAGUCGUAACAAGGUAACC